GGACGACGCUGGCGGCGUGCCUAACACAUGCAAGUCGAGCGGAGUUUUUUCGAAUGAGACCUUCGGGUGGAUUUUGAAACGACUUAGCGGCGGACGGGUGAGUAACGCGUGGGCAAUCUGCCUCUUACAGGGGGAUAACACAGGGAAACCUGUGCUAAUACCGCAUAAAACUGCACCGUGGCAUCACGGAGUAGCCAAAGGAGCAAUCCGGUAAGAGAGGAGCCCGCGUCUGAUUAGCUAGUUGGUGAGGUAACGGCUCACCAAGGCGACGAUCAGUAGCCGAACUGAGAGGUUGAUCGGCCACAUUGGGACUGAGACACGGCCCAGACUCCUACGGGAGGCAGCAGUGGGGAAUAUUGCGCAAUGGGGGAAACCCUGACGCAGCAACGCCGCGUGAAGGAUGAAGGCCUUCGGGUUGUAAACUUUUUGAUCGGGGACGAAUAAUGACGGUACCCGAAAAACAAGUCACGGCUAACUACGUG
rnacentral:rRNA from 1 species